rnacentral:rRNA from 1 species
GUCUACGGCCAUACCACCCUGAACGCUCCCGAUCUCGUCUGAUCUCGGAAGCUAAGCAGGGUCGGGCCUGGUUAGUACUUGGAUGGGAGAAAAGUAUAUAUCGGAAAGCUUGAAAAGUAGGGG